CCUACGGGGGGCUGCAGUGGGGAAUAUUGCACAAUGGGCGCAAGCCUGAUGCAGCCAUGCCGCGUGUGUGAAGAAGGCCUUCGGGUUGUAAAGCACUUUCAGCGGGGAGGAAGGCGGUGAGGUUAAUAACCUCAUCGAUUGACGUUACCCGCAGAAGAAGCACCGGCUAACUCUGUGCCAGCAGCCGCGGUAAUACGGAGGGUGCAAGCGUUAAUCGGAAUUACUGGGCGUAAAGCGCACGCAGGCGGUCUGUCAAGUCGGAUGUGAAAUCCCCGGGCUCAACCUGGGAACUGCAUUCGAACUGGCAGGCUAGAGUCUUGGAGAGGGGGGUAGAAUGCCAGGUGUAGCGGUGAACUGCGUAGAGAUCUGGAGGAAUACCGGUGGCGAAGGCGGCCCCCUGGACAAAGACUGACGCUCAGGUGCGAAAGCGUGGGGAGCAAACAGGAUUAGAUACCCCUGUAGUC
rnacentral:rRNA from 1 species